rnacentral:ncRNA from 1 species
GGUCGGGUGUGUGGCUAAUACAAUACCCGUAAGGGAAAUACACCCGCCGACUGUGUACGGUUUUGAGCACCCGACCCCCCUCUC